rnacentral:rRNA from 1 species
UACGUAGGGUGCAAGCGUUGUCCGGAAUUAUUGGGCGUAAAGAGCUCGUAGGCGGUUUGUCGCGUCGGCCGUGAAAACUUGGGGCUUAACCCCAAGCCUGCGGUCGAUACGGGCAGACUUGAGUUCGGCAGGGGAGACUGGAAUUCCUGGUGUAGCGGUGAAAUGACGCAGAUAUCAGGAGGAACACCGGUGGCGAAGGCGGGUCUCUGGGCCGAUACUGACGCUGAGGAGCGAAAGCGUGGGGAGCGAACAGG